rnacentral:rRNA from 1 species
AUUGAACGCUGGCGGCAGGCCUAACACAUGCAAGUCGAGCGGAUGAGUGGAGCUUGCUCCAUGAUUCAGCGGCGGACGGGUGAGUAAUGCCUAGGAAUCUGCCUGGUAGUGGGGGACAACGUUUCGAAAGGAACGCUAAUACCGCAUACGUCCUACGGGAGAAAGCAGGGGACCUUCGGGCCUUGCGCUAUCAGAUGAGCCUAGGUCGGAUUAGCUAGUAGGUGAGGUAAUGGCUCACCUAGGCGACGAUCCGUAACUGGUCUGAGAGGAUGAUCAGUCACACUGGAACUGAGACACGGUCCAGACUCCUACGGGAGGCAGCAGUGGGGAAUAUUGGACAAUGGGCGAAAGCCUGAUCCAGCCAUGCCGCGUGUGUGAAGAAGGUCUUCGGAUUGUAAAGCACUUUAAGUUGGGAGGAAGGGCAGUAAGUUAAUACCUUGCUGUUUGACGUUACCAACAGAUAAGCACCGGCUAACUU